rnacentral:rRNA from 1 species
AGGACGAACGCUGGCGGCGUGGAUUAGGCAUGCAAGUCGAGCGACGGUAUCUCUUCGGAGAUAUACGGAGCGGCGAACGGGUGAGUAACACGUGAACAACCUGUCCCUUUAUUCCGGAUAAUUGGGAGAAAUCCCUUGUAAUACGGGUGAGGACGGUCCUUUGGCAUCUUUGGAUCGGGGAACACGCAAGUGGUAUGGGGAGGGUUCGCGACCUAUCAGGUAGUUGGUGUGGUAACGGCAACACCAAGCCAACGACGGGUAGCUGGUCUGAGAGGAUGGUCAGCCACAUUGGAACUGAGACACUGUCCAGACCUCCUACGGGAGGCUGCAGUCGAGAAUCUUGGGCAAGUGCAACGAAAGUGUGACCAGCGACGCCGACGUGAAGGAUGAAGGCCCUGUGGGUACGUUAAACUUCGUUUAAAGGGAAGAAUAGCCGUUGGCUUGCGUACCUUUGAA